rnacentral:rRNA from 1 species
UACGUAGGGUGCGAGCGUUAAUCGGAAUUACUGGGCGUAAAGUGUGCGCAGGCGGCAGAGCAAGUCGAGUGUGAAAGCCCCGGGCUUAACUUGGGAACUGCAUUGGUGACUGGCAGGCUAGAGUAUGGCAGAGGGGGGUAGAAUUCCACGUGUAGCAGUGAAAUGCGUAGAGAUGUGGAGGAAUACCGAUGGCGAAGGCAGCCCCCUGGGCCAAUACUGACGCUCAUGCACGAAAGCGUGGGGAGCAAACAGG